GGGCUCGUAGCUCAACGGUUAGAGCACCAAGCUUAUACCUUGGGGGUUCUUGGUUCGAAUCCAAGCGAGCCCACCA
rnacentral:tRNA from 2 species